GGGCUCACUUUAGCAGCACAUAUACUAAAAUUGGAAUGAUACAGAGAAGAUCAGCAUAGCCUCUACACAAGGAUCACACACAAAUUCAUAAAGUGUUCCAUAGUUAA
rnacentral:snRNA from 1 species